UUCGAUCAACUCCGUUCCGCAAAACUGACUCCUCUCCCCAUAGCACCAAGAGACCCCAUAGCAUUCGCAACCCUGUGACCCCAUAUAUUCCGCAAACUAACUCUCUCUCUCUCGUCUCUCUCUCUCCCUACCCCCUAUAGCACCCAGCUGAACCCCCUCGAGGCCUUGACCAAAGCUUUCAAACAGACCACAGAGGAAGGCAAGAUGAGCGGCCGCGCCAUGAAAUACCCCUACACCCUUUCGGCCAAGUUGGCGCAGUUCCCAUUCUCGUACUACGUCAAGAACCAGUGGGUGUUCAAGUACUACCUGAUUGGUGUCGCCGUCUCCAUUCCCGUGUUCAGCUGGUUCCAGAAGCAAGCUUGCUCGCCUGCCAACAAGGCAAAGUGGGAAGCGAAGGGAAAGGAAGAGCACUAAACGGGAGAUGGAAGAGAAUUAACGCUAAACACCGAGAGAGACGGAGGAGAGAAGAAGAGGGAAUAAGGGAGAAUAAGAGAAAAUAAGAGAAGAAAGAAGAAGAGGAGAGAAGAGAGAUGAUGAAAAGGAGAGACGGAUGAGAGAAGAAGAGAAGAAAAGGAGAGGAGAGUGAUGAUGAUGAAAAGGAAAGAGACAGAAGAGAGAAGAGAAGAAAAGGAGGAGAGAAGAGAGAGACAAUGAUAAAAAGGAGAUAGGAAAGUUGUUAAUUUCUUUGUAGAUAUUAUAUUUUUUUUUUGUUUCCGGAAAUGUUUUUUUCUUUCUUUCGAAGUGAAAAUUUACCUUUUUUUUUUUUUUUUUUUUUCCCUCUCUCUCUAUUGCGUAAUAUUUUAAUGUUGCUGUAUAAAGUUUGGAAAUAAAAAAUAUGUAACUGAA